GCUACUUUGAUGUCUCGGCGUUUGUUAACCGCAUGAUUCCAUAGCGAAUGCAACAAGUUUUCUUUUCGAACCUAAUAGCACGUAUGGCAAUGCAUCGAAUCAGGUAAGGCCACAUUAGGAGUCCUGCUCUUAUGUUUUGCGUCUUUUGCAGACAUGAACAACCUCUUUCUGAUCUCUGCCGUGACUCUGCCACGUUAUUUUUAGUGAUGAUGUAACAUUGGGAUUUGACAGACGUGAAUUGUGGGUGCAAACUAGCGUACGUAGUAGGAUAUCGACUAGACGUGUUCUGUGUGGUUACGCACUUAGCAAAUGGUUUUGUUUGCACAUCUUGAAUACUUCCUACAAUGUGCUUCAUUUAGGAAAUGACCUUCUCGAAGGCAAGUCUAUAGACAAGUCUGGUGGUACUGAAAGGAGUUGCUGCAGGAAUUGAAGGAAAAGUAGAACUGCAUCAAGUUACUUGAACGACGAAUGAGAAUGAAAGAAAAUUAAAAAGUUGAGGCAAUUCAGGAUAAUGAUUAAUGAAAAGAUCUUGUUUACACAGGAUUCUGCAGCUUUAGUAAUUUUAAAGAUCUCCUUUAAGUCGUCAGAGUAAGCUGCCAGUUCACUUAUUUAAAUACUGGUCAAAAGACAUACAACUUUUGCAGACAGCCAAUCGAGAAAAUAAUGUUCUCUUUCACCAUUGAAUGAUUUGUUGCUAACUGUGGUUUCUCUUCCUUUCGGCCUAGAGAAUCUGAGAUGAAAGGCCUUCCUCUUGUUCACAACAUUCUAGCACCUGAAUCAACUCAAUUAUUGUUUUGUAUAUGACAAUAUAUUGGUUUUCACUAUCA